AAUAAAAUGUUGACAAAAUUUUCUAUACGAAUAAAAUUUGCUCGGACUAAAAGUCGUAUUUUGAAAUGUUUAAUUUUAACCAAAUUUAGUUUAACCUAAGAAAAUUUGAAGAAAGUUUGUUUGUGUUAAAAAUCCCUCCAAGCACACCCUUAACUUCUGCUAAAAUAAUUCUCCUGUGUCCUUCCGAACGGUUGCCAGACAACUAGUUGGACCCAGUUGAGACACAAGGACACACACACAAACCAGACUGUCUUCGUAUGGUAGGUGGCUUACACAGCUCUUAGCCAGACAACACAAAUAAAAUUUGCAAUAAAAUUUCGUCUUCGACGUACAAUACCAUGCAGAUGCUUCAAGAAUUAUCACCGUUCCCAGUCCGAUGGUCUGAUGAUAGCUGGGGAAAGUCUCGAAACUAGCUAAUUUUUUUCGCAAUAAAAUAUCGCACUGGCCCCCUUUAUAGCUAGGAUGGAUAGUGCUAUUCUUCAAACCACAGGAAACACUUUCUAUACACAAAAGAAAUGACAAAUCACAAAUCUACUACAAAUUUUUUGAAACCAUAGUUCACUCACAUUCAAUUCUUAUCACACAAUAAACGAAGAUUAAAAUUAAUUUGAUUUAACUGUCAUUUGAUUCGACUUGACCACAAAAAGGUAUUUUAAUUAACCGGGCAAAACGAUUACUUUACUUCUUCACAACGACUUCUCUUUGCUAAAUGGCUUCUUUUUGGCCCCACCAGCUUAUAUAGGCCCACAACUUUCUUUUGGCCGCAUUUUCUUUUCUCCCAAAAUAAACAAACUGUCUCUGCCACUCUUUCUUCAAUGUCAGGGUCGGUAUUUUGUUAUUGUGAAUGUUUAUUCAGUAUCAACCCUGGACAUUGAACCUUCAAAUUAACGGACCACAGAUUUGUCGGACAAGUCGUCGCUCUACACCAUGCGAUUUACCCCCCGCGUCAUCCACUAACUGUUAGCCAUUCUGACAUUCUGGUGACACUUGAAGCCAACUUCAUGCAUUUCCACAUUCACUCGCACGCCACCACCACACAACAUCAACCAACAGCACGCAGGAGAGCAUAUACAAAAUACAUAUUAUUUUAAAGGAAAAAAGUGUACUCAUCCAUCUAGGAAUAUCUCCCUAUUUGCAUCGCCGUCCUAGUUCAUACAUCGGUGGUCGCGUGCUUCGGCCAUACAAUCGUAACACAUGUGGAUUACCAUAGCACCCCCCCACCCCCUUAUGGCUAUCGUUGCCACGCGACUGGCUCAUAUUUCUGUUCGCCAUAGGAUGCAACACAUAAACCUAAUGAUUACAAAUGGGCCAUUAUAAUUAGACUGCAAUACCAAGGGCUCGAUGAUGUCCAAUGGCUGUGCAUUCAUGGCAAAAUUAUGCAUCAUAAACCUAACCACAAAUAAUGAUUACAAGUGAGCCAUUUUAUAUAGAAUGGAAUAACCAAGGUUCGAUUGUGUCCAAAUGUUGUGUAGCCAAAACUUUAUGCGUGAAUCUCACCGCAACUAAGGUGUGAGAAUCCGGCUGCAUUGAAGAAAAGCCCUAUGUGGCGGAGCAAAGGUAUAGAUAAUCCAGAAAAGCCAUUUAGAAUGUUUUAUGCUGAUGACCUGCACAAAUCUAAAUUCCAUGGCAGCACAACACACUGCUACAACAACAACCGGCACAAAUCUAAGCAGAUUUAUUGAUGCCACUCUAUUGCUUUAGCUGCGUCUAACAGACUGUAUAAGAGAUCACUCUUACAUAUAAAUAAAAGGAUUUAAAUAAAAAAGUAAUUUGUUGCAAUGGAAAAAAA
rnacentral:sRNA from 1 species